GGGGAUUUAGCUCAGUGGUAGAGCGCUUGCCUAGCAAGCACAAGGCUCUGGGUUCAGUUCCCAGCUCCG
rnacentral:tRNA from 1 species